GCCGAGAUGGCUCAGUGGUUAAAGCUUCCGGUUACUGACCGGAAGGUCUGUGGUUCGAACCCGAGCUCUGCA
rnacentral:tRNA from 1 species